rnacentral:rRNA from 1 species
UAGUUGGUAGGGUAAAGGCCUACCAAGGCGACGAUCUGUAACUGGUCUGAGAGGAUGAUCAGUCACACGGGAACUGAGACACGGUCCGGACUCCUACGGGAGGCAGCAGUGGGGAAUAUUGGACAAUGGGGGGAACCCUGAUCCAGCCAUGCCGCGUGUGUGAAGAAGGCCUUUUGGUUGUAAAGCACUUUAAGUAGGGAGGAAUAGUUAUUGGUUAAUACCCAAUGAUGAUGACGUUACCUACAGAAUAAGCACCGGCUAACUCUGUGCCAGCAGCCGCGGUAAUACAGAGGGUGCGAGCGUUAAUCGGAAUUACUGGGCGUAAAGCGAGUGUAGGUGGCUUAUUAAGUCACAUGUGAAAUCCCUGGGCUUAACCUAGGAACUGCAUGUGAUACUGGUGAGCUAGAGUAUGUGAGAGGAAAGUAGAAUUCCAGGUGUAGCGGUGAAAUGCGUAGAGAUCUGGAGGAAUACCGAUGGCGAAGGCAGCUUUCUGGCAUAAUACUGACACUGAGACUCGAAAGCGUGGGUAGCAAACAGGAUUAGAUACCCUGGUAGUCCACGCCGUAAACGAUGUCUACUAGCCGUUGGGGCCCUUGAGGCUUUAGUGGCGCAGUAACGCGAUAA